CUCUUGGCAGGGUUUAAACCUCCCUUAAGGGAUCUAGGGGAGACAAGAAUACCAUAUUGUCCCAAAUGGAGCAUGGAGGCACUGUGGGCUAUGAUAGACUGUCUUCAAGGAAAACAACUCUAUGCUGUGUCCAUGAUUAAAAACUCAAGAUGUGAAUGCAAAAGCGCAUAGAAGAAAAUGGUGUACUUGUGGCCUGAGGAUUGAGAAGAAUUAAAGUCAUGAAAACCAAAAACUAUUUUAAAAGACUAGUAAAUUCAACAUUACAAGGAAAAACAUACAUUAAAAAAAACACAAACUGAAAAGCCAAACCCAGAUUGGGAGAAAAUAUUAGCAGUGCUUGUAACUGACAAAGGAUUACUAUGCGGAAUACUUUAUAAGGAGAAACACACACACACACACAUCCAAAAUUUUAAAUGGACAAAGGAAAUGAACAGGCAGUUCACAAAAGGGGAACCUCAAAUGCUGACUAAAUGUAAGAAAACAUGCUCACAGGGCCUUACCAGCUCACGGAAUCAACCACCAUUUUACAUCAACUGGCCAAAAUGUUAAAGUCUGGCCAGAUCAAGUGUUUGCAAGUAUGAAGAGCAUACUCUACUGACAGUAAAAAAAACUGGUACAACCAUGUUGCAGAGCAAAGGGAAAACCUCCAGCUGACAUGGCCUGGCAUCUUACUCUUCAUAUAUAUCCUAGAGAAGCCACAGGAUCAAGACACGCUCUGCAGCCCUAUUCAUUAUCAUGCAAACCUAAUUGCCCAUCUCCAGGAAUGCUGAACUGUGGAAGUAUACAAUGCAAUCUACAUAGCUAUUAAAAUCAAUCAACUGGAGUUUUUAUGUGUUAAGAUGGGUAAGUCAUACAGUAUUGAGAGAAAAAAACAAAUUGCAGAAGGACACACAGAAUAUGAAACAAUACUACAGGGUGAGUGUCCCUUAUCAGAAAUGCUUGGGAGCAGUAUUGCAGAUCUCCAUUUUUUUUUCAAGUUUUGGAAUAUUUGCAAAUACUUAUUGGUUGAGCAUCCUUAAUCCACAUUCAAAAUGCUCCAAUGAAUGUUUCCUUUGAG
rnacentral:lncRNA from 1 species